rnacentral:rRNA from 1 species
AGUGGCGGACGGGUGAGUAACACGUGAGAAUCUGCCUUGGGGUCGGGGACAACCACUGGAAACGGUGGCGGGUAGCGGAUAAGCCUUUGGGUAAAAGAUUUAUUGCCCCAAGAGGAGCUCGCGUCUGAUUAGCUAGUUGGUGAGGUAAAAGCUCACCAAGGCAGCGAUCAGUAGCUGGUCUGAGAGGACGAUCAGCCACACUGGGACUGAGACACGGCCCAGACUCCUACGGGAGGCAGCAGUGGGGAAUUUUCCGCAAUGGGCGAAAGCCUGACGGAGCAAGACCGCGUGAGGGAGGAAGGCUCUUGGGUUGUAAACCUCUUUUCUCAGGGAAGAAGCUCUGACGGUACCUGAGGAAUCAGCCUCGGCUAACUCCGUGCCAGCAGCCGCGGUAAUACGGAGGAGGCAAGCGUUAUCCGGAAUUAUUGGGCGUAAAGCGUCCGCAGGUGGCGAUUCAAGUCUGCUGUCAAAGCACGGGGCUUAACUCCGUUAAGGCAGUGGAAACUGAAUAGCUAGAGUGCCGUAGGGGUAGAGGGAAUUCCCGGUGUAGCGGUGAAAUGCGUAGAGAUCGGGAAGAACAUCGGUGGCGAAAGCGCUCUACUGGACGGCAACUGACACUCAGGGACGAAAGCUAGGGGAGCGAAUGGGAUUAGAUACCCCAGUAGUCCUAGCUGUAAACGAUGGAUACUAGGUGUAGCUUGUAUCGACCCGAGCUGUGCCGAAGCUAACGCGUUAAGUAUCCCGCCUGGGGAGUACGCACGCAAGUGUGAAACUCAAAGGAAUUGACGGGGGCCCGCACAAGCCGGUGGAGUAUGUGGUUUAAUUCGAUGCAACGCGAAGAACCUUACCAGGGCUUGACAUGUCCGGAAUCCCGGUGAAAACUGGGAGUGCCUUCGGGAACCGGAACACAGGUGGUGCAUGGCUGUCGUCAGCUCGUGUCGUGAGAUGUUGGGUUAAGUCCCGCAACGAGCGCAACCCUCGUCUUUAGUUGCCAGCAUUAAGUUGGGCACUCUAGAGAGACUGCCGGUGACAAACCGGAGGAAGGUGGGGAUGACGUCAAGUCAGCAUGCCCCUUACGCUCUGGGCGACACACGUACUACAAUGGUCGGGACAGAGG